rnacentral:lncRNA from 1 species
CGAUAGUCAGUCAGCUAUGUACUCUACAAAAUUCCUCACUCUCUCUUGUAUGUAAAGCUUCAUAACGCACUCUCUUUAGAUGAUCUAAUACAGUUAUUUUCCUUACAAAUUAAAAAAAAUUGCCUGUAAAUUAAACCUGGUCACUUAUGAGCAGCAUAUAUGCAGUAAGUCCUUUGUUCUGAUAAUAACAUGAAAAUUUGUUAUUACAUCAGUGGUGAUAUAUCUGUUAUUACAUAAAUGAAAACUAGAUCGAUUAAAUAUUACAACAAUUGUGAAUAGCUGGUAAUUGACUUGGAAACUUAGAAUUUGUUUAUCUUAUUCGAAACUGGAGCAAAAGAUGAGUACGAGGGCUGCAAUGAUCUCUCUUGCGUUGAUCUCUUCACAUAAAAAGAGAAGGAAUCGCCUAAUGACGAAAAUUCCUUCUCAUCUUCGUGGAUAGUAUCCAACACUUUGGACAUGCAAUGCCGUCUCAUGGAAGCGACAAUCAGGGGUGGUGCCACUUCAGAAACAUACCUUGCCAUGAGGGAGGUCGCCAUAUGUUUAAUCUUUUUAACUGAAGAAUGAAAAACCAGGUAGAAUUGAACUAAGACAGAAGUGUUGUGAUUUCAACUGUGUUCUUGUUUGAUACUUAUAGGGGUUCUCAUAGAGAAGUAAUGAAAGCUAAAAGUGGAUAACGGAUUCCA